CAGCAGUCGCCACGGGAAUACAGAGGGUGCGAGCGUUAAUCGGAUUUACUGGGCGUAAAGCGUGCGUAGGCGGCUAAUUGAGUCGGAUGUGAAAUCCCCGAGCUUAACUUGGGAAUUGCAUUCGAUACUGGUUAGCUAGAGUGUGGGAGAGGAUGGUAGAAUUCCAGGUGUAGCGGUGAAAUGCGUAGAGAUCUGGAGGAAUACCGAUGGCGAAGGCAGCCAUCUGGCCUAACACUGACGCUGAGGUACGAAAGCAUGGGGAGCAAACAGGAUUAGAUACCCCCGUAGUCCCUGUCUCUUAUAC
rnacentral:rRNA from 1 species